GUGAGGAAUAUUGGUCAAUGGGCGCAAGCCUGAACCAGCCAUGCCGCGUGCAGGAAGACGGUCCUAUGGAUUGUAAACUGCUUUUAUUUGGGAAUAAACUCCGGUACGUGUACCGGCCUGAAGGUACCAAAUGAAUAAGCACCGGCUAACUCCGUGCCAGCAGCCGCGGUAAUACGGAGGGUGCAAGCGUUAUCCGGAAUCAUUGGGUUUAAAGGGUCCGCAGGCGGUCUUAUAAGUCAGUGGUGAAAGCCUACAGCUCAACUGUAGAACUGCUAUUGAUACUGUAGGACUUGAAUUCGAUCGAAGUGGGCGGAAUGUGACAUGUAGCGGUGAAAUGCUUAGAUAUGUCACAGAACACCGAUAGCGAAGGCAGCUCACUAGGUCUGGAUUGACGCUCAGGGACGAAAGCGUGGGGAGCAAACAGGAUUAGAUACCCGGGUAGUCC
rnacentral:rRNA from 1 species